AGCUAAUGAGCUUGAUAUAAGCAUAUGUUUUGAAAACAUAAGAUAGAGAUCAAACUCUCUAUUAGCUU
rnacentral:tRNA from 1 species